rnacentral:rRNA from 1 species
CUACGGGACGCUGCAGUCGAGAAUCUUCCACAAUGCACGAAAGUGUGAUGGAGCGACGUCGCGUGCGAGAUGAAGGCCUUCGGGUCGUAAAUCGUUUUUAUAAGGGAAGAAUUUAGAUGACAUUACCUUAUGAAUAAGGGGUUGCUAAUUGCGUGCCAGCAGCAGCGGUAAUACGCAAACCCCAAGCGUUAUCCGGAUUUAUUGGGCGUAAAGGGUGGGUAGGCGGAUAUAGCAGUCAGUCGUUAAAUCACUGGGCUCAACCCAGUAAUCGCGAUUGAAACACUAUGUCUAGAGAUAAGUAGAGGUCAACGGAACUCAUGGUGUAGCAGUGAAAUGCGUUGAUAUCAUGGGGAACACCAAAGGCGAAGGCAGUUGACUGGGCUUUAUCUGACGCUGAGCCACGAAAGCGUGGGGAGUGAAGGGGAUUAGAUACCCUCGUAGUC